UACAGAGGGUGCGAGCGUUAAUCGGAAUUACUGGGCGUAAAGCGUGCGUAGACGGUCAUGUAAGUCGGGUGUGAAAGCCCCGGGCUCAACCUGGGAAUUGCAUUCGAGACUGCAUGGCUAGGAUGCGGAAGAGGGAAGCGGAAUUUCCGGUGUAGCGGUGAAAUGCGUAGAGAUCGGGAGGAAGGCCGGUGGCGAAGGCGGCGCUCUGGAACAUUUCUGACGCUGAGGCUCGAAAGCGUGGGGAGCAAACAGG
rnacentral:rRNA from 1 species